CAAAGAAUCAAGUAUGCUCAACAAACAAGGUACACUAUUUCAAUAACAUCACUAACAUAAAACUGGUUUGUCGAGGCGGAUUUUCAAAUCUGAAUACAAAAGCACGCCUUUUUUUCAAUUUUGGUCAGCCAUCUUGGAACGGAAGACAAGAAUGGUUGAAAUAGAACUGAAAUUUUAUACUGUUAAUUUUAAAACUUUAGUAGACUAUAGUUUUUAGUAAUGUAAUUAAUUUAAGGAUGCUGAAGUCAGGCAAUUCUAUUCCAGAAGAAGACUCAGAAGUAAGAAUAUGUCACUCUUGGUCACAAACUGGGCAACUUGAUGUUACUCACCUAAGGCAUUCCCACAAGUUAGUAAAAUCAGCUUUAACUCAUAUCAACACAUUUGCGUUAAGUUCAAAUAUUCAAUAUGCAUCAGUACAUACGAUUAGAACACGGUUGUCCAUGCUUGAAUCAUCGUGGGCAGAUUACGUUGCUGUCAGUAACAAUAUUACAGUGAGUCUCAUGGUUGUUCGCGCGGAUUGUCGAG
rnacentral:lncRNA from 1 species